ACAGAUAAUGAGGGUGCGUUAAUUGCACCCCCUCUCAUAAGAUUUAUACUUCUUUGACACGUAUAAAAUGUAAGAUUUAAAAAUAAUUGUAUGAUUAAAGCUACAGUGUUGUCGGUGUACCUAACUACCCUUAGGCAUGUCUUGUUUCUAGUACAACUACCGUUACUUUGUCCAGGCAGCCCCAGUCUGCUCCAGGUUUAGGAUUAUCAAACUUUCGCUAUAAACUUGAAGUUACAAAAUGAAAACUUCCAAAAGUUCCCUUGUAAAAUCUACGUUCACGUGCGGCCGGUGUUCCAUGUUGUAUUUUGACUACAAACGUUUGUUAGAGCAUCUAUAUUGGCGCCAUGGAACCGAAAGUUUUUGGUGUAAACAGUGUGAGCUGAAGCGGUGGCGAUACGCCGUUCACGUGUGCCAUGUUCUGCCGAUAAAUUACGAAAUCCUCGAAGACAGCGAUUUGAAUUCGGAGGACCCUCCCUAUUAUUCAGAGCGAGAGACCGACUUCUGUUCUUGCGGGAAGUAUAUCGCUGAUGCCCCGAUGAUAGGGUGCGACGGACCCAGCUGUCAACUGCAGUGGUAUCACUUCUCCUGUGUAGGUAUCACAUCGCCGCCGGAAGGGGACUGGCUAUGUCCAACGUGCGUCAAAUCACAAAGGAUUAAUCAGAGAAAACUAGUGAAAACGGGAACUGAGACUUGAGCAAAUUCAGAUCACUUGGAUUGUGAUCUCCACUUUGUGCCGGCUUUCCAGGGUCUAGAAUGCAGUGAGCAGAAUUUGUCGUAUUUAUAUUUCUAUUUUGUCAUAAUAUUUUUAGAGAUUUUUAUAUUUAGAGUAAGGUAUUUAUUAACAAAAUGAUGUUGUAAAUAAUAAUAAUAAGAAUGUAUGUUAUGUAAUCGCAAU
rnacentral:lncRNA from 1 species